rnacentral:rRNA from 1 species
UACGGGGGGGGCAAGCGUUGUUCGGAAUUACUGGGCGUAAAGGGCUCGUAGGCGGCCAACUAAGUCGGAUGUGAAAUCCCCAGGCUUAACUUGGGAACUGCAUCCGAUACUGGAUGGCUUGAAUCCGGGAGAGGGAUGCGGAAUUCCAGGUGUAGCGGUGAAAUGCGUAGAUAUCUGGAGGAACACCGGUGGCGAAGGCGGCAUCCUGGACCGGCAUUGACGCUGAGGCGCGAAAGCCAGGGGAGCGAACGGG